rnacentral:rRNA from 1 species
UACGUAGGGGGCAAGCGUUGUCCGGAUUUACUGGGCGUAAAGAGCGUGUAGGCGGCCACGCAGGUCCGUUGUGAAAACUGGAGGCUCAACCUCCAGCUGUCGACGGAAACCGUAUGGCUAGAGUCCGGAAGAGGAGAGUGGAAUUCCUGGUGUAGCGGUGAAGUGCGCAGAUAUCAGGAGGAACACCGGUGGCGAAGGCGGAUCUCUGGGCCAUUACUGACGCUGAGGAGCGAAAGCGUGGGGAGCGAACAGG